GAUCGGCGUUUAAAGUCCAGCGACACCUCUCCUGCCUCAAGCCGCUCUGUCAAUGUUGCCGCCUCAGUGCACCGUGCGUGUGGCCAUUUUGAGGGACCCAUUCAAAGAGUUGGCGAGUCACCGUCUGCCAACUUUAUGAUUUACAUGUUACAACGUUGUAUCGGCAGACGCCAUAUGCCAUUAAUCCUUAUCCAA